rnacentral:rRNA from 1 species
UACGUAGGGUGCGAGCGUUAAUCGGAAUUACUGGGCGUAAAGCGCUUGUAGGUGGUUUUGUAAGUUGGGCGUGAAAACUCUGGGCUUAACUCAGAGACGCCGUCCAAUACUGCAAGGCUAGAGGAUGUCAGAGGAAGGUGGAAUUACUGGUGUAGUGGUGAAAUGCGUAGAUAUCAGUAGGAACACCCGUGGCGAAGGCGGCCUUCUGGGGCACUCCUGACACUGAGAAGCGAAAGCUAGGGGAGCAAACGGG